rnacentral:rRNA from 1 species
UACGUAGGUGGCAAGCGUUGUCCGGAUUUACUGGGCGUAAAGGAUGUGUAGGCGGAUACUUAAGUGAGAUGUGAAAGCCCCGGGCUCAACCUGGGGACUGCAUUUGAAACUGGAUAUCUAGAGUGCGGGAGAGGAGAAUGGAAUUCCUAGUGUAGCGGUGAAAUGCGUAGAGAUUAGGAAGAACACCAGUGGCGAAGGCGAUUCUCUGGACCGUAACUGACGCUGAGGCAUGAAAGCGUGGGUAGCAAACAGGAUUAGAUACCCUGGUAGUCCACGCCGUAAACGAUGAGUACUAGGUGUAGGAGGUAUCGACUCCUUCUGUGCCGCAGUUAACACAAUAAGUACUCCGCCUGGGAAGUACGGUCGCAAGAUUAAA